rnacentral:rRNA from 1 species
UACAGAGGGUGCAAGCGUUGCUCGGAAUCAUUGGGCGUAAAGGGUAGGUAGGUGGUCUCAUUUGUCAGGGGUGAAAGCCUUGGGCUUAACUCAAGAAGUGCCCCUGAAACGGUGAGACUGGAGUCUUGGAGAGGGUCGUGGAAUUCCCGGUGUAGCGGUGAAAUGCGUAGAGAUCGGGAGGAACACCAGAGGCGAAAGCGGCGGCCUGGACAAGUACUGACACUCAACUACGAAAGCGUGGGGAGCAAACAGG